rnacentral:rRNA from 1 species
AUUGAACGCUGGCGGCAGGCCUAACACAUGCAAGUCGAGCGAUCGGCGUACGGGUGAGUAAUGUAUGGGGAUCUGCCCGAUAGAGGGGGAUAACUACUGUAAACGGUGGCUAAUACCGCAUACUAUCGGAUGUACCCAUAUGGGAUUAGCUAGUUGGUGGGGUAAAGUCUCACCUAGGCGACGAUCUCUAGCUGGUCUGAGAGGAUGAGCAGCCACAAUGGGACUGAGACACGGCCCAGACUCCUACGGGAGGAAGCAGUGGGGAAUAUUGCACAAUGGGCGCAAGCCUGAUGCAGCCAUGCCGCGUGUAUGAAGAAGGCCUUAGGGUUGUAAAGUACUUUCAGCGGGGAGGCGUUACCCGCAGAAGAAGAAAAGGCUAACUCCGUGCCAGAAGCCGCGGUAAUUC